rnacentral:rRNA from 1 species
AGAGACAACUUUUGACGGUGGAUCUCUUGGCUCACGCAUCGAUGAAGAACGCAGCCAGCUGCGAUAAGUAGUGUGAAUUGCAGAAUUCAGUGAAUCAUCGAAUCUUUGAACGCAAAUGGCGCUCUUGGGUUCUCCCAGGAGCAUGUCUGUCUGAGUGUCGGAUAUCAUCCAUCGC